AUACGUAGGGGGCGAGCGUUGUCCGGAAUGAUUGGGCGUAAGGGGCGCGUAGGCGGCUUUGCAAGUCAGUAUUGAAAGUCCAUUUUUAAAGGUUGGAAUGGCGGCAGAAACUGCGGAGCUUAAGUGCAGGAGAGGUUAUCGGAAUUCCCGUGGUGGCGUUGAAAUGCGUAGAGAUCGGGAGGAACACCAGUGGCGAAGGCGGGUAACUGGACUGCAACUGACGCUGAGGCGCGAAAGUGUGGGGAGCAAACAGGAUUAGAUACCCUGGUAGUCCACACUGUAAACGAUGAAUGCUAGGUGUAGGAGGUAUCGACCCCUUCUGUGCCGCAGUAAACACAGUAAGCAUUCCGCCUGGGGAGUACGGUCGCAAGAUUAAAACUCAAAUGAAUUGGCGGGG
rnacentral:rRNA from 1 species